UGGAUAAGGAUGAAGCGAUAAUACUAUAAUCCAACACUUGAUCUGAGACUUUUAUUGUCAAGUGAUGUUCGUGUAUUGACUUCUGAAUCUGC
rfam:Jatropha curcas cultivar GZQX0401 scaffold906_44, whole genome shotgun sequence.